rnacentral:rRNA from 1 species
CCAGACUCCUACGGGAGGCAGCAGUGGGGGAUAUUGGACAAUGGGGGGAACCCUGAUCCAGCGACGCCGCGUGAGUGAAGAAGUAUCUCGGUAUGUAAAGCUCUAUCAGCAGGGAAGAAAGAAAUGACGGUACCUGAGUAAGAAGCCCCGGCUAACUACGUGCCAGCAGCCGCGGUAAUACGUAGGGGGCAAGCGUUAUCCGGAAUUACUGGGUGUAAAGGGAGCGUAGACGGUGAAGUAAGUCUGGAGUGAAAGGCGGGGGCCCAACCCCCGGACUGCUCUGGAAACUAUUUGACUGGAGUGCAGGAGAGGUAAGCGGAAUUCCUAGUGUAGCGGUGAAAUGCGUAGAUAUUAGGAAGAACACCAGUGGCGAAGGCGGAUGACUGGACGACAACUGACGGUGAGGCGCGAAAGCGUGGGGAGCAAACAGGAUUAGAUACCCCUGUA